GGACGUCAGCAACAGUGUUUCUAUAACAGGAGCUGUGGAAAAAACAAAGCAGAGGGAGUUAAACACCACAGCUGGGAGGGUACCAUCAGCUUGUCCCAUUGUGCUCAAAUCAAAGCCCAAAUUCUAAUUCUCCGUUGUCAUUUGAUGUUUGUUUGGCAUUUAAAUUCCACUCUUUGCCUGCAAUGAUCUGACACUGUGAAUACCUGAAUGCUUCACAUGAAAGUGCUAUGAGAAAUAAAUUAUGUAUUUUUGGCAAA